rnacentral:misc_RNA from 1 species
UGUACAAUAGAACUUCCACAAUUUGCAGCUGUAAUAAUUGUAUGCCGCCAUGACUCUUGGGAAAAAUUUUCAUUCAACUGCGACUUGUUCUAAAGCAUCAUAUAACACGUGCGUAUCAGGGAAAAAGAGAAGACAAAAUAAACCGUUAAGAAAUAAUCCUGUUAAAACCUAGGAAGCAGACACAACGAGCUGGAAUGAUGGCAAUCCCACAACGGAAGUCAUUUAGUGCUCAGAUAAGAACUCCAUAAAUUAUCCUAAUCUAAAAUGCCAUAGUAAGUUUAUCAUCUUUCUUUGACUACACUUUCCGGACCUGAAUAUUGUGUGUAGAUUGGAACCGCCAGAUUGGUUGUCUGCCACUCUGAACAAGUGCAACUUCCUCCCCUUCCUUUACCAUCCCUUGAUUCUUGAGCACUGAUAAGGCAUUUGCAAAUGUUUCUUCUGCAUCAUCUGAAAACUGCAUGUAUAUGGGACAAACUCCUUGGUACAAAGCCAAUCUCUGUUGUAUUCUCUUCUCAUUUGUGAAGGCAAAAAUAGUGCCAGAAGGUCGAUAAUGGCUCAGUAAUAUAGACAUGAAGCCAGUCCUGGUGAAGACAACAAUUGAGGUUCCAAGAGUGUUUGACAUCAUGGUUGCAUGAUACGCAAACAUCUCGCUCAUGUGGUUCUUGAACGCUUGACCAAGAUUUGGUGGCAUUGUACCACUAGCUAUGGUUGCUUCAGUUCGUAAUGCAACUGUGUGCAUAACUUUCACAGCUUUCAAUGGGAAUUUUCCAUGAG